rnacentral:misc_RNA from 1 species
AAAAAUAUUUGGUCUCGUGCCAAAUUUACACCUGUGUGCACCAUUGUCUGUAUUCGGUAGCUCGAGCGCGCUCCGGAAGCUCAACACUUCCAUUAGGGGCGCCUACCCUUGCGGGUCACAUCCCGCUUGGGUUGGGCUACCGCCUUUUUUUGAAAAACCUUUUUUGUUUUGUCUUUUUGUCUGAACGAAGAGUUGAUCUUAAUUGAUUAAUGAUUUGAAAA